CAGCUCUCCAGCCCCCGCCCUGGUUUUUUGUUUGUUUGUUUGGUUUGGUUUUGGUUUUUGGUUUUGCUUUUUUUCCAUUUUGGCCUGAGAUCUGAGCAUUGACAUUUAUUAGUGUUUCUGUCACUGAAACCACACCUCCUGACGGCAGGCUUUGCAAACUUCCAGUGAGCAGACUUGGUGGUGGCCCAGUUCUGCGCCCUUUUCCAGUCCGGAAGUCUGGAUGGACUCAGUUCUCUUCCUUCUACGAAACACGGGACUGAAGGAGCCCAGGCUGGGCUUGAAUGGACCAAGUCCUUUGGCCUGCCGUCUGUCCGCUGGCCGUCUGUCCGCUGGCCGUCUGUCCGCUGGCAGGGCUGUACCUUCCGCUGAGUGCCCUCGAGGGUGUCUUCUUGCUUCCAUUUUCAGGAUCAAGGCGUAAAGCCUGGACGUCUCUCAUAACAGCCUGUUUGCCCCACCUCUGCCACCGCUUCCCUUAGCCUGUGGUUGCACUCUGCAGGCCUUAGGACAUCAGUAAAUCAGAGGGACCUCACAGGUCUGCCUGGGCACCGUGUAUUCUUGCUGCUGAGACAGACCCCUGGCUCCGCCACAAGUCAGAGUUCCUGAAGAAGCAGCAUGGAGGGCAAGGGCCCACCUGAGACGUGGCAAGAGGCAUCUCAGUACCCUUUCCACAGCAGGGCACAUGCGCUGUGUGAGAGCCCCUGCCCCCGUGUCUGUCAGUCUCCUGUGGGGGCCUGGCAUGCCGAGACCUUGGCAUUACUCUGCUGAUGGGGUCCCAGUGGAAUCCACGCAUCCCAGCGACCGGGCAUGAGUCAGCCUUUCAUACAGCCCAGUGCAUCCUGUUUAUGCUCAGUUCCCAGCAUCCACAUGAUGCCUCGCAACCACCUGUAACUCCAGUUCCAGAG